UACGUAGGGGGCAAGCGUUGUCCGGAUUCAUUGGGCGUAAAGAGCGUGUAGGCGGCCAGGUAGGUCGGUUGUGAAAACUGGAGGCUCAACCUUCAGAGGUCGACCGAAACCAUCUGGCUAGAGUCCGGGAGAGGAGAGUGGAAUUCCUGGUGUAGCGGUGAAAUGCGUAGAUAUCUGGAGGAACACCGGUGGCGAAGGCGGCAUCCUGGACCGACACUGACGCUGAGGCGCGAAAGCUAGGGGAGCAAACGGG
rnacentral:rRNA from 1 species